GUGCUCGCUUCAGCAGCACAUAUACUAAAACUGGAAUGAUACAGAGAAGAUUAGCAUGGCCCCUGUGCAAGGAUGACACACAAAUUCAUGAAGCAUUCCAUAUUUAA
rnacentral:snRNA from 1 species